rnacentral:rRNA from 1 species
UGGCUUAGAAGCAGCCAUCAUUUAAAGAAAGCGUAAUAGCUCACUGGUCGAGUCGGCCUGCGCGGAAGAUGUAACGGGGCUAAACCAUGCACCGAAGCUGCGGCAGCGACGCUUAUGCGUUGUUGGGUAGGGGAGCGUUCUGUAAGCCUGUGAAGGUGUGUCGUGAGGCAUGCUGGAGGUAUCAGAAGUGCGAAUGCUGACAUAAGUAACGAUAAAGCGGGUGAAAAGCCCGCUCGCCGGAAGACCAAGGGUUCCUGUCCAACGUUAAUCGGGGCAGGGUGAGUCGACCCCUAAGGCGAGGCCGAAAGGCGUAGUCGAUGGGAAACGGGUUAAUAUUCCCGUACUUGGUGUUACUGCGAAGGGGGGACGGAGAAGGCUAUGUUGGCCGGGCGACGGUUGUCCCGGUUUAAGCGUGUAGGUGUGUGUUCCAGGUAAAUCCGGUUCACUUUAACACUGAGGCGUGAUGACGAGGCACUACGGUGCUGAAGUAACAAAUGCCCUGCUUCCAGGAAAAGCCUCUAAGCAUCAGGUAACAUCAAAUCGUACCCCAAACCGACACAGGUGGUCAGGUAGAGAAUACCAAGGCGCUUGAGAGAACUCGGGUGAAGGAACUAGGCAAAAUGGUGCCGUAACUUCGGGAGAAGGCACGCUGACACGUAGGUGAAGUGAUUUACUCACGGAGCUGAAGUCAGUCGAAGAUACCAGCUGGCUGCAACUGUUUAUUAAAAACACAGCACUGUGCAAACACGAAAGUGGACGUAUACGGUGUGACGCCUGCCCGGUGCCGGAAGGUUAAUUGAUGGGGUCAGCGCAAGCGAAGCUCCUGAUCGAAGCCCCGGUAAACGGCGGCCGUAACUAUAACGGUCCUAAGGUAGCGAAAUUCCUUGUCGGGUAAGUUCCGACCUGCACGAAUGGCGUAAUGAUGGCCAGGCUGUCUCCACCCGAGACUCAGUGAAAUUGAACUCGCUGUGAAGAUGCAGUGUACCCGCGGCAAGACGGAAAGACCCCGUGAACCUUUACUAUAGCUUGACACUGAACAUUGAGCCUUGAUGUGUAGGAUAGGUGGGAGGCUUUGAAGUGUGGACGCCAGUCUGCAUGGAGCCGACCUUGAAAUACCACCCUUUAAUGUUUGAUGUUCUAACGUGGACCCGUUACCCGGGUUGCGGACAGUGUCUGGUGGGUAGUUUGACUGGGGCGGUCUCCUCCUAAAGAGUAACGGAGGAGCACGAAGGUUGGCUAAUCCUGGUCGGACAUCAGGAGGUUAGUGCAAUGGCAUAAGCCAGCUUGACUGCGAGCGUGACGGCGCGAGCAGGUGCGAAAGCAGGUCAUAGUGAUCCGGUGGUUCUGAAUGGAAGGGCCAUCGCUCAACGGAUAAAAGGUACUCCGGGGAUAACAGGCUGAUACCGCCCAAGAGUUCAUAUCGACGGCGGUGUUUGGCACCUCGAUGUCGGCUCAUCACAUCCUGGGGCUGAAGUAGGUCCCAAGGGUAUGGCUGUUCGCCAUUUAAAGUGGUACGCGAGCUGGGUUUAGAACGUCGUGAGACAGUUCGGUCCCUAUCUGCCGUGGGCGCUGGAGAACUGAGGGGGGCUGCUCCUAGUACGAGAGGACCGGAGUGGACGCAUCACUGGUGUUCGGGUUGUCAUGCCAAUGGCACUGCCCGGUAGCUAAAUGCGGAAGAGAUAAGUGCUGAAAGCAUCUAAGCACGAAACUUGCCCCGAGAUGAGUUCUCCCUGAGACUUUAGGUCUCCUGAAGGAACGUUGAAGACGACGACGUUGAUAGGCCGGGUGUGUAAGCGCAGCGAUGCGUUGAGCUAACCGGUACUAAUGAACCGUGAGGCUUAACCUU